rnacentral:misc_RNA from 1 species
GUGUAAGGAAACAACAGUAAUUCAAUGGCCAUUUCAAGAUUUCUCAAGCUUAAGCUACGAUGAAAGCAUGGAAGCCACGUUUGUUAAUGGUCAAAAUCUGCAUACACUAAGAUGGUUUUCGCUUUUAAAUCUACAAGAAGAAUAUCUAAUCAGUUGCAAAGCAGGAUACAAUUUACGCACCGUCUUCGGUGGCAGCUGCUAAAGGUUGAAGAGCUUUGAGAGGAU